CGCCCGUGGAGCCCUCCAUCCCCCCUUCCCCAGGGACCGCAGCACUUCCUGGAGCGGCGUGGGGCCGGGGACAGGGCAGGCAUGCAGGGAACCUGCCCUGGCCCCAGUGUGCACCGCUGCCACCCUGGAGUCACUUUAGCUACAGGACAGCCUCCUGGGAUACAAGGAAUGACAGUUCUAGGUGAAGUGUGCACAGUUUCACAGCUAUUUACAAAUUAAAAACAGAUCCUACAGUAUGUUGGAGCCACACUGGGGAGAGCAAACCAUAUGCAACACGUUGAAGCAACCACUUCUUCACUAGCAGCCUGCUUGCUACUGGAAGGGAUGCACAAGUAGCUUGCUACUGAGGAUAGACAAGGAGGAGUGCUGCAUAUCCAAGCACAAGGUCAACUUCUUGGCAAUACUAGUACAAAAGUUGAGCGUAGAACUAUUUUAGUAAGGAGUGUGAUUUUUCACCAAAAUAGUUAUACCAGUCCAAUGCUGAGUGUGGAUACAGUCAUACCAGCAUAGAGAUGCUUUAUAUCAGUAUAGAUUGUAUUAUUCUCAUUCCUGAGAAUAAAGCUACAUCAGCAAAAAGCACCUUUAUACUGGUACAAUUGCAUCCCCAUGAAGAGAUGUUGAACUGCUUUAACUAUACUAGUAUGAAUAAAAUGUUACAACUUUUAUGCUGAGACAAGACUUUAGAGUCACCUAAAAUGAAUAUUAAAAGGUAUCAUUUGUCACAUUAGAAAUGCGGGUUAGACUAGCAAACUGAAAGAAAUUAAACUGAUUUGACAUUGUCUGGAAGAUCUCUUAACAUUCUGUUCCUUCCUAUCUGAAAGCAAAUUUAUAGGAUGCUCUGCUUCUAUACAGAUCUUCAGCAUCAUUAGUUGCUGUGUAGAUAGCAAUUAUCUCAAGAGUUAUAAUUUGAUGAUGUAAUAUAAUUGACAUUUCUAUGGCUGUGCAAAGGAAAAACAUCCUAGGUGUGGAAAUGUGCUAAUGUUAUCGAAUAUGAGUCAUAUUUACACAUUUUCUUUCUGAAACAGAAAAAGUCACAACUAAAUUGAGAAUUUGGUCAGCCCUGUUGCUGGGAACAUGUGGAAAGAAUUUUCUCUUGAUCCAAGCCUAGUGUGUUAAGUUUUAAAAUUACUAGAAAGCAUUAUAUCUUUUUUCUCUUGUAAGCAUUUCUGACUUUAAUGCCUUAUACUUGUAUUCGCUUAA